rnacentral:rRNA from 1 species
GAUGAACGCUAGCGGCAGGCUUAACACAUGCAAGUCGAGGGGUAACAGGUCUAGCUUGCUAGAUGCUGGCGACCGGCGCACGGGUGCGUAACGCGUAUACAAUCUACCUUGUACAGGGGAAUAGCCCAGAGAAAUUUGGAUUAAUGCCCCAUAGUAUUAUUGAAUGGCAUCGUUUAAUAAUUAAAACUCCGGUGGUACAAGAUGAGUAUGCGUUCUAUUAGCUAGAUGGUAAGGUAACGGCUUACCAUGGCAACGAUAGAUAGGGGUCCUGAGAGGAAGAUCCCCCACACUGGUACUGAGACACGGACCAG